AUGAACGCUGACAGAAUGCUUAACACAUGCAAGUCUUUGGCGAAGCUGUGCUUGCACAGCCUAGCCAAGGCGGACGGGUGAGUAACGCGUAAGGAACUUGCCCUGCAGUCAGGGAUAACAGACGGAAACGACUGAUAAGACCUGGUAAAGUCAGGCGGACUCAUGUCCAGCCUGAUGAAAAGAGAUGCUGCAGGAGAGCCUUGCGUCCUAUUAGCUUGUUGGUGGGGUAACGGCCCACCAAGGCGAUGAUAGGUAGCCGGCCUGAGAGGGUGGACGGCCACAAGGGGACUGAGAUACGGCCCUUACUCCUACGGGAGGCGGCAGUGGGGAAUAUUGGACAAUGGGGGCAACCCUGAUCCAGCAAUUCUGUGUGCACGAUGAAGGUUUUCGGAUUGUAAAGUGCUUUCAGCAGGGAAGAAAAAAAUGACGGUACCUGCAGAAGAAGCGACGGCUAAAUACGUG
rnacentral:rRNA from 1 species